CAGAGUUUUAUCAACACACCUCACAAAGAAGACCAACAAGAAAUGUGCACGUCUGCACAGUGCAGAUGAACCCAAUCAGUCUCUGGCUGUGCCUGACCUACAUGUGACACUUCUGAGCAGAUGUGCAUCAGGAUACAACAGAUGAGAGAAUGCCAGCCCCUGCCAAAAGGACUCCACACAUAUUGGGAAGGAUGAAUACCAAUAAAUCAGGAUCAGAUGGGAUGUAUUGUACAGCUUUUUUGGGGUA